AGUGAACGCUGGCGGUAGGCCUAACACAUGCAAGUCGAACGGCAGCACAGUAAGAGCUUGCUCUUACGGGUGGCGAGUGGCGGACGGGUGAGGAAUACAUCGGAAUCUACUUUUUCGUGGGGGAUAACGUAGGGAAACUUACGCUAAUACCGCAUACGACCUACGGGUGAAAGCAGGGGAUCUUCGGACCUUGCGCGAUUGAAUGAGCCGAUGACGGAUUAGCUAGUUGGCGGGGUAAAGGCCCACCAAGGCGACGAUCCGUAGCUGGUCUGAGAGGAUGAUCAGCCACACUGGAACUGAGACACGGUCCAGACUCCUACGGGAGGCAGCAGUGGGGAAUAUUGGACAAUGGGCGCAGGCCUGAUCCAGCCAUACCGCGUGGGUGAAGAAGGCCUUCGGGUUGUAAAGCCCUUUUGUUGGGAAAGAAAAGCAGCAGGUUAAUACCCCGCUGUUCUGACGGUACCCAAAGAAUAAGCACCGGCUAACUUCGUG
rnacentral:rRNA from 1 species